GAUGAAGAACGUAGCGAAAUGCGAUAAGUAGUGUGAAUUGCAGAAUUCCGUGAAUCAUCGAAUCUUUGAACGCACAUUGCGCCUUCUGGUAUUCCGGAAGGCAUGCCUGUUCGAGAGUCAUUAACAACCGUUUCGAUCCCUUUCUUUCAGAAAUUACAAAGAGGAAAAGGGUUUGGUUAUGGUGGAGGAGGGAAAGGGAGCGUUUAGCCUGUAAAAAAAGAGGCUGUGUUCCGCCUCCCCCCCAAAAUUGUACAGGCGGUCGUGUGCGCCCACGCAUCGAGGUGUUGUAAAAGCUGCCACGGCACUUUUCACCUGUGCAGUGCGAGAUUGGCCAGCCGGUUUAAAAACCCCUCCAAACAAUCAAAGGUUGACCUCGGAUCAGGUAGGGAUACCCGCUGAACUUAAGCAUAUCAAUAAGCGAAGGA
rnacentral:misc_RNA from 1 species